CUUGCCUCCUCUUUCGUUACUCUCGGUGCGGCCUGCAUAUUUGCUUCCGACCAAUCUUGUGCCUUUGUCUUAGCGCUUUAACGCGAAGGAGAGGUAGAGGGCGGGGUUCCAGUCGCGGCUCUGGCGUGCUUUUCCUCCCGCUCAGAGUGAGGGUUGUUGCCGAGAUACAAUUGUUUAAAAAGUGAAUGCAACUUACUUGGAAGUGGAUUACUGUUCAGGAGAUAGAAAGAUCCAGUGAGAAGACUUCAGGGUUGGAGGCAUUUACUUAGAUAACUGACCACGCUGGCCCAUUGAGCCACCAGCUCGGCGUUGGAGAGCAGCUGCUAGGAACCCUUCCAAGAGAACAAGGUGGCACGACCCUGCCCUGGUCAGCAGGACCUCCUUCAUUGGGUGAGGGCAACUGAUGACUGCACCCUCUUCUUCAGACUAGACUCAGAGGACAAGUGGACUGGUCAUCUGUUUAGACUUUAGAGCAAUAAAGGUGUCUGAGAUCCAGCUGUGGAUCUGUCAUUCUUGGAUCGAGAGGCUAUCUGGAUGAAUCCACUCCUCUGAAGACAGUGAAAAGAAAACACACUCAAAGCACGUCCUAUCACCUGGAAAUGCACGUAUCUAUGCACAGCUGAUGCCAGACAGACACCGUACACCAGAGCUUCUGUCCUGAUUGAUUCAUGUUCUGCUACCCAGUUUAGUUUCUAGAUAAUUUUAUUAUUUGCCCCAGGGAUCUGGGCUGUAAGACCUGUACCAUAAGAUCACUUGUUCUCUUCUAUACUGUAUCCUCUGUACUGCCUUUCCUGGGGUCAAGAUGAUUGCCAGUACCAAUCUGUGUCUGCUUUUACUCGGCUUGCUUGGCCCAUGUGCUUGCUGUGCAAAUUUAUGGUACUGGGAGUUCCAAGUCCAGUUGGCUGGCACUGUGACAGUCCUUAACCAAACCAGGUGGGACCCCUCUCAGGCUACUGUGUCUCUGUAUUUUGAUGCCUGCCCCAACAUAGCUAGCUCCUUUUCCUCAGGCUGCGGAGGCUUAAACUGGGAGCGAGAAUAUCGUGGCAACAACAAGUAUGUCUGUCUGGGGUGGGAGGAAGAACCUAAACUGAAGAGAGGAUUUUGUAGUGAUCCUGAGAACUGGUUCUGUGAUUCCUGGGGCUGUCCAAAUUUGUUCUACCCAGGAUACGGGACCUUCAACUGGGACAAGGUCCCCUUUACUCAGCUGCCAUCCAGUCCAAACUGCCAGCAGGGAACCUGUAAUCCCAUAAAGUAUACAAUCACUGAUCCCAACCACAAAGACUGGCUAAAAGGUCGUCAAGUUGGUGUUCGAAUUGAUGGUAGGGGAAAGGAUCCAGGAAUGAUAGUAAUCUUUAAGAAGGUUUGUAUCUCCCAUGUCAAGAUCCCUAUACCAAAACCAUCACUUUUUCCCUUGGUGUCCCUGGUCCCUCAAUCCAAUAGUUCCCAAACACUUCCCUCCCCCAUGCCAGACCUGUACCUCGUUAACAGCACCCAUUAGGUCCUCCAAGCAGUAGAUCCUAAAUUGGCCAGUGAUUGUUGGCCAUGUAUGCCCCUCAUGGCCCUCACAUGCUGUAGGCUUGACCCUAAACAGUACCUACCUUAACUCUUCUGCCACUGGUCCCUUACUCCGUCUCCACCCUCCGGAGAUAGAGGGGAAUACCACAUGUCUCCUGGGUUCCUCUGUAAAACCAGAUGUCUCAGCUGACUAUGGAUGUUCUGAUUGCUACCUCAGGCUACCUGAUGACCCCUUAUGGAACCUUCAUUUGCUCUGAUGGGAUCCAUUGGGUGUUUUCAAGCACAAAGAUUAGUGUCUGUGCACUUGCCUGUUUCUUGUUUGACCUCUUGUCUGUUCAGGUCAGUAAGGCCACACUUAGCCCCACCAGCCCCGCCAAAAGGGUGAUCUAGUAGUACUGUCAGUGGUGGCCGGAAUAGCAAUAGCAAAGAGUCAAGCCCUUAGGGCCACUGCCUUGGUCAUGGGCCAGCAACAGUAUUUAUAGUUAGGCACCCAAAUAUAGGAUGAUUUUACAGUAAUUCAGGGAGCCCUUGACAUGGUACAAGACCACAUUGAUUCCCUACCCACAGUAGUUCUCCAAAACCACAGGGCGUUAGACCUUAUGGCCCAAGAAAAAGGCAUGUACUUGUGCUUAGAGGAAAGAUGCUGCUGUUAUGCUGGUAAGUCUGGUGUUGUUAGGCAAACUGUUUAUCAACUGUGAGAAUGAAUAAACCAGUGGGUCUGAGUCAGACAGGCUCCUUUUGGUGUAGCUCCCUGGGAAACUGGGAGUUACGGUUGGGAGAUGUGUUAGGACCACUAUCGGGCCUCUUCCUUAUACUCCUAAUUGGAUCUUGCUUAUUAAAUUGAUUCACCUCCUUUAUUACAAAACAUAAUUAGUAGUAUCAGCCUUUAGAUGACUCAGAUCAGGUCUCUCCUACAGAGCCCUAAACACCAAUAUGUCUGGAAAUGAUUUUUCUGAUGACUAAAAGAAGGGGAUAUGAAAGAGAAUUAAAAUUUUACAGUAAAAGCCCACCAAGAAUGCCUGCUAAAACCAACUGGACAUGUGUAGACAAGUCUGAUAGCAGACAUUCCUUCCUUUGUGUAACUGAUAGCCUUGCCAUGUAAAGACAUUUAAACUCCCUUGGCAACUCAUGAUGUCUUCCAACCUUCUAAUCAUAAUGUGCCAAAUCUGCUUCUGUACCUCCCACUUACUGUUCCCAUAAAAGCCCUAAAACCCCACUGGGCAGGGCGCUGAUUCUUUAGGAGCGAGCCCAAUCAGGUCUACUGAUAUUUACUGUCUCCUAGAGCAUCUCGGUGCUGUGUGUCCCUCUGUUUGGUUCGUUUUGCCAUGACAUUCUCUGUAAUGGUCACAUAGGAAGAGAACUAGAGACACACACAGAAAGAAGUCAUUCCUCUAGACUUGCUUGAGACAUACCCAGAAGUUUAGACUGGCCAAAAAAAAAGGACUGGCCAAAAAAAAAAAAAAAAAAAGGCCAGCCUCCAAUCAUAGUAGACCUCAAGCCAGAAGCAACAUCUGCCAAAAUAAGACUAUAACACAAAUGGGAAUCCAAGAACAUAUCAGUUGGCUAUGAGAGGCAGGAAUCCUUAGCAAGUGCCAAUCUCCCUAAAACCAUAUUCCUGUCACGAAGCCCAGAGUGGGCUGGGGAUUUAACUCAGUGGCAUAAGUGCCUGACUGGCAAGUGCAAGGUCAUGAGUUCAAUCCCUGAUACAAAAAAAAAAAAAAAAGCCCAGAGGAAAUGGAUACUGGCUAGUCCGUACCUCCAAGCUGUCAGUGCCAACAUUAUGCUUCACCUGGUUGUACCCAACCCCUACAUUCUUCUGAGCCAACUUCCACCAAAAACAACCUAGUUUACCUGUGUGGGCGUCAAAGAUGCCUUUUGCAUUUGGCUAACCCCACAACAUUGCUUUUUGCUUUCUGAUGGGAGGAUGAUGGAUACUCCAGGAUCACAACACUUUCAUGGCCCAAGAGGGUUAAUUUUGUUCAAGAAGGCCACCAGAAGAUGCAGCUUGGGAAGACUGCUCUAAAGACUCUUUUUGGGAGAUAUUACUUGGAAGACUCCAUUGCUCUGUGCCACUGUCUGGCAAAGAUGUCAUACUUGUGCUCCUAACAGUCUUCGCAAAGGCCACAGUUACUCGUGGGAAUUCAACACAUGGACACCUCACUGAGGAUCUACAGAUAGACUAUUGAAAUGAAGCUCUGUUUUAGGUAUAAUAUGUGCUAGUAAUUGUACCUAUUCAGGAUGGGUAGAGGCCAAACCAGUCAAGACAGAGAAGGCUCAAGAAGUUCAAAGAAGUUAUCCCCUGAUAAUUAGCUCUCUCUGUUGAGUGGAAGUGACAGUGGGAUUGCCUGUAUGGUUCAGACUGUUGAAGGCCUCUCAGACCUCUGAAAGAUGAAAAGGAAUCCACAUAAAGCCAACCUCCACCAAGUUCAGAGCAAAAAGAGUAUGUGAAUUGGACCCUAAAGGCCAUCAUGGCCAAGUUCUGUGAAAAACAGGAACAGACUGUACAGAAAUGCUCCUCUUAGCCCUGCUGAGAAUCAGAUGUGUGCCUGGACCCAAGGACUAUUUUGCCUAUGAGGGUAAUGUCUGAAAGGCCUCCAAUAAUUAGACAUUUCAGUGGAGAUGUUACACAACUGCAAGAUAGGUGUAUAGCAGAAUUACAGAUGUCGGGGAAAACGUUUCAGAUCAUCACAACCAUCCGAGGCAGUGCUUUUAUCCCCGCUGGCAAUCUUGUACAUCCAGUUCGACCAGGAGAUUAAAAGACUGGUAAAAGGAGUCUCAGCCUAUCUGUACUGGACCUCACGUUGUGUUUGCUGCCCCCAUUGCUGUCAUGGUUACAGUCUGCACCCCAUGACUGUUACCCAGAUCAAAAAGGCUAACCCCCAAAUUACCCAUUGACUGAGACCACCCACCAUAUCCCUCAAGACCCAACUCCAUUGCAAGCCACAUCAACCCAAACGUGACUGGAGACUGAACCCAACAGAUGACCACCCUGCUUUAGUCACUGAGAGCUGACCAGUCUAUGCAUGGCUUAAACCUAAGGACGCUGGUCACAGGUCCUUACUUCCUGGAGUGUUCUCCUUGGCUCUUAGGUCUCCUUGGACUGCUUACCCAGGUUUUUACCACUGGCCUCACUGUAGUCACACCAGUCCAGUGGACUACUGCCCAAAAAACCCUCUUGACCCUCUGUAUAGGGUGUUUCUCCUGUUUCUUUUUAAAAAUAGAUUACCCACUUUCUUUAAAAGAUAAAUUAUCCACUUUUGGCCUCACUGAUAAUGGCUGUUGCCAAAAACCUUAAUCAGGCUGCCUCUCCUUGUCACCAUUGUCACAGGCCAAUGAAACCCGCACCUCAUUUCCCCCCAUUAUGUUAACCCAUCAGAGGUCACUCAUCAGGCAGUCAGAAGUCUCUGAGACCAGGCAAACAUACUCAGAAUGGUCCCAGAUAUGCAGCUCCAGGUGAUGGCUUAUACCCUUAGUUGGGCCACGGGGCUUUAUCUUCUUUAGAUUGCUCAGUCCCUACCUGUUUAAGUGCCUUACAGAGUUCCUCCAAAAAUGAGUUUAAGCUCUCAACAUACAACCAGUCCACCGCCUGCUGUUGGGAGCUCAUUCAUCACAGCCCUGUAGCUACUAAUGAUAUCCUAUGAAACUGCCUACGGAGAGGAUAAUAGGAGAAAAUAGGUCACCUAGGAACCCCCUUCUCUCUCCAAGGCUCAGCCCCAUGCCCUGCCUGACAGUUAAUGUUUUACUCUGGCUCUCUUCUACUUUAUAUCCACACUGUUCCAACAGCUUCUGUUAGUGAUACCUUUUAACCAAAAGAUCCUACGGUCUCUGUGCCCACUGGACCCUAGGCCCUCCCACCUGGUAACACCAAGUUAAUGGCACCUACUAUGAGUUUGAUUCCUGGUACCAAAAAAAAAAAAAAAAAAAAAAAAAAAAACCCAAAAAACUGGUAAACUGCUUCUGUACAAUUCCACUCAGCUUAACGCAGGAAAAUCCAUUUGUUCCCAGUGGAUUACCCCCACUCUUAAAUAAGCCUUUUAUCCUCUCAAUAAGUUUCUGUUUCCUAGAACAAUGCAUUCCUCUUCUUGCUUAUUAAAAUAGGUAAAACUAGAAUGUAACCUUUUGACCAAUCAUGUAACACCAGUUCAGCUGUAUGCAGAAAAGGUGAAACCCAGUGUAACUUUUUGUCCAGUCAGUUAACAUGCACUCCGCUUCUGUACUUCCUACUUGCUUACAGUCCCUAUAAAAGCACACUGAGAAUUCACGGCCUCAGUCUGGGAGCACCCCUACUCUGGACUGCUGGUGUCAAUAAAGCUGUAAACUUGCCUCCAAA